rnacentral:lncRNA from 10 species
GGAAACUCCUGGGACCGCUAAUCGGAGAGGGUGCGGAAACGCUGGAGGAGAACUCAGGUAAUGGCGCCAGCGAAAGAAGCCUGCGGAUACGGAGAAACUGCAUCUUCGCGUGACUUUGGGCGCUGUUCCUCGCGGUAGUGGCAAGGCCUUCUGGGAGUUGUAGUUCUACGGGAGGCUUGUUUUCCCCAUUGUCCAGUUUGAUUCCGAGAGCGUUCUUUCCAGUUAAUUAAUUAUUCAUAUAUGCAAAUUUGCUCUUUCACUGGCAAGGAGACUGAGUUUCUACUCCCCGAGGACCCAUAAGGCCGGUUUCUUUUCCUCUCUCUGUUGUGAUGGCUUUCAUUUGUUUCAAAAAUGCUUUCUUGUAGACAGGAUGGAUAUUAUCUGUAAGUUAGGCGGUUCAAUCUACCCUCUAGGGGCAGUCAAUUGCCUAACCAGACAUUCACAUUUCAGCUCUGGUCAGCGAGCACUUAAUCAGAAAGUCCACCCUCUGGAGGCAGCUAUUACAAGUGCUUCGUCUCUCUUUAUCGCCCAUCAGCACCAGCGGUUUGGCUAAUUGACAUAAUGAAAUGUUAGAAAUAGAUUCUCAUUGGUGAGAUUAACAGCAUUCAAGAUAAUGCGGAUUGGCUGGGAUAUGUCAGACACUCUCCUAGCUUGCAUGAACAGGAUAUUGAGAAUGUAGCAAGCCUUGGUACCUAUAGCCAUAGGAAAUAAAACCAUACCUUUGAUCUUAAUAUGUUUUGUCUCCGGGAUCUAUCUCACCACUCUCUUGGGGUCUCUUAUCUGCCCCAGUACCCUCUCGACUUUCUUUUCAGGGUCUCUUCCCACCUCCUCUUUCUUGGUCUUUGUCUCCCCAGGCACCUCCUUUCAGAGUCUCUGUUCUCUCUCUAAUUCUGUCUCCUCUUCCCCUGUGGGACUUUUGUGUUUCUGUUUCCUCCAGAGAAUUUGAGGGGGGCUAACAGAUACGGAGCUUAGGCUUGGACUGAGGAGGCAUAAAAACAUGGUUUAUUCCAAACACUGCAAUGUGGAAUAAGAGAGUGGGAAGGGAAGUUGGUGGAGAAGUGUGGACUCCCAGACCCUCCCCUCCGCAACCCAGCCCCAGACCCGGCUGGAGAUCUGGGCAGAGGAGGCUUUUUGGAGGUCUGCUGGGUCAUCACUGAAGGGUCGCAAA